rnacentral:rRNA from 1 species
AACGAACGCUGGCGGCGUGCCUAACACAUGCAAGUCGAACGAACCCUUCGGGGUUAGUGGCGCACGGGUGCGUAACGCGUGGGAAUCUGCCCUUUGCUUCGGAAUAACAGUUAGAAAUGACUGCUAAUACCGGAUGAUGUCUUCGGACCAAAGAUUUAUCGGCAAGGGAUGAGCCCGCGUAGGAUUAGGUAGUUGGUGGGGUAAAGGCCUACCAAGCCGACGAUCCUUAGCUGGUCUGAGAGGAUGAUCAGCCACACUGGGACUGAGACACGGCCCAGACUCCUACGGGAGGCAGCAGUGGGGAAUAUUGGACAAUGGGCGCAAGCCUGAUCCAGCAAUGCCGCGUGAGUGAUGAAGGCCUUCGGGUCGUAAGGCUCUUCUACCAGGGAUGAUAAUGACAGUACCUGGAGAAUAAGCUCCGGCUAACUCCGUGCCAGCCGCCGCCGUAACAC